ensembl:lncRNA
GAACCACUGAAUACGCGGACGACAUCUCUCCCGCCGCCUCAUCAGCGUCGUCUCCCCCCCCCCCCUUUGUUCUCUCCUCAUGCAAUUUCCAUGCCAUCUUCUCCUGCUGUUUGUCUGCAUGCCGUUGCCACACUGAAAAGCCUCCAGAUGUUCGACAGUCUUUUCUCUCUCGUCUCCUCCUUUGCUUGACACCAUAUUUCCUAAUGUAUCCCCCCCAAUUCACCCUUUUUCAACAGCUUGUUUUUAGCACUCGCAUGUCUGCUUCACUGGCUUUGCAGAAAGUCUUCAACGGGGAGGAUUGCUGUUUUUGGAAUCACUAAUAAACCGUAAAUGGCUCGAUGGUAUCUGUGUCUAACCACGUGUAACUGCUCUAUAAAUGUGCAAUAGACGAGGCCCGCUGUGCGUGUUUGCCAUUCCUAAUGACUUAUACAGUUUAAGAUGAAAGUCUUCCUUCUCUCGUUUCAAAACUCACAUUUCAUUGCUUUCAUUUCCCCCCUGAGUCUCACAAUGGAAAAAGCAAUAAGCUUCUGAAAUGUCUAAUCAAAUCUGAUGCAAUUAAAUGUCAAUGUUCUCUGACGCAGUGUCUUCUUUUCUACAGUGCCAUCGGAAACUGGAACUGAAACACUAGAUUGACACCAUCCAUUUCCCACCCCUUGGACAAGACAAAGCUUCAAAAAGAGGUCCUUACCUGAUGUAUUUUGUGUGUGUUCAGCCGGUCCUCUCUUCCUCUGUCUGCACGGAUCUUUUUACUGACAAGAUCCUAAUGACCAGUCAUAGCCUGUUCUGGAUAUCCGCUGUCCAAUAGGACCCCCCCCCCCCUCGGACACUACAGAAGGUGCUGUCAUCAACCCUUUCUUUGAUCUUCCCCGGGGGGGACUAUAAGGAAGCCAUACAUCUGAGCCAGUGUCGGUCGACCUUCAUCCUUCACCUCUCACACAGCUGUCUAGUGUGUUUACAUUAGUCUGGCCACAAUAUCAGAGCCGAGGCUGAGUUCAAAUUGAGGACACAACGACAAUUACAUGGCUGUGUACUCUCAAAUCUUUUGUACUUCUUUCGCGUUGUCUAAACAGUGAAUGAAAAGAUCCUUUGAAAUGUCAUGUAGAGCUGCUACUAGAGCAUUGCCAUUACUGCUCAUAUUUGAGGGGUCUUUGCGAUGAUGUUUUACUAACUGAUGAGGAGAGCCGUUUGAGACGUAUCACGUGAAACAAACAGGAUUGAGGCCAACUCCAGACGGUUGCCUUUUAGACCUGUUUUACCACAGCAUUUUGACUGGUGUCCACCAUCUUGUUGGAUAUGAGGAAAUACUGUAUCUCAUAUCAGUGUAUAACAGGUAGAAUAUCACAUGAACCUGGACAGAAAUGUCAAGAGACUAAAACAUUCCUUAGUUGAUUAAUUGAUUAACAGUAAAUGCAAAGUAUCCUGUUGCGUAUACUAACACGGUGCGUUAAUAAAGAUAUUUUCCCGGGGCUAUUGUAGUGGUCAAACUUUAAAUUGGAGAACUGCUAUUUGAAGCCAAAUCCUAUUUUUACUGUAGGUCUCAGGUCUUUAGUUGUAUAACAGUUAUGCAUAAUAUAUUGUUUCAGUCUUUUUUGUUGUUGUUAAUCCCACAGUAGCUUUUGGUACCUAUGGAACUAUGGAAGGGGGAAUGUAUUGAAUAGUCAUUUGUAUAUAAGAGAUGUAUUGCUUAAAGUGAUUUAUGACACCCGUGUGGACUAUGC